rnacentral:lncRNA from 1 species
CUACAACCAAGUGAGAACUAGCACAACAGAGCUAAUUCAUUUGGAUAACAGUGCAUAUUUUUGCUCCUGAAAAUGAUGCUUAGCAGCCAAGUUCUAAAAGAACCUGCAUAAAGGUUAUGACACUUAACAGGAUCCAGAUCUCUUGACUUUUCUUCCUAUUAUUCUGCUGGAGAAAGAGAGGCAGAAAAAGCCAGACACUUUACUGCAGAAGUCUUGAAAUUCAAGCAGAUAAUUGGAGACAUAUAGGAGGAAAACACUUCCAAUCUUCUCAUACAGUCAGGGAAAUCUUGAAGAGUCUUACACUUUUAAUCCUCCAGUCGUUAACUGUGCUAUGAGGAUAUUCUGGUGGGAGUAAAAAGCAACUAUUUUCCUCACCGUUUAUAACACAGUUAAGAAUUUGACUGACAGAAUGUUGGCACCAGCUGUGGUAGAACUGAUCAGCCUCAACUCCAAGUAAGUGAUGUCUUGCACAUUUGGAGAUUCAUUUCAGACUAAAUUUACAAAGCCUUCUAUCAGAAAGUAAUGACAAAUUAUUAUAAAACAUAAAUAUAAAUAUGAAAUGGGGGAAAUAUUCAAUGAUCAAGAAAAUGUAGACAACAAAUAGUCUGUUGAUAUAGAAGAAUAACUGGUGGGAAAAAAACAAGUGAGAAUAUUUGGGUGCUAAUUAAAUUAACCUUACUUCCCACUGCAUUUCUCAUGGGAGACAAUUGUGGGUGAAGGACAGAGCUAGAAGCCUAGGUGGUCCAAAAAUUAUCUCUGAGGGGGGUCCACAUGUUAUUCUUCACAUGGUGGAGGUGACAGCAGUGCUA